GCAAAGACGAAACGCUCCGUCACAAAUUUUUUGCACCUUGUGUCUAUUAUUACUUCACUGAUCCAGAGCUGGUUCAAGGAAAUGUAGAGAGCAAGAAGGAUGGAUCUGUAUCGUCAACUGCAAAUGUAAAGGUAUAUUAGCAUCAUCAUUACUGCAUUUCCAUGUCUCUCGCUGAUGAUUUCUUACAUCAUCCAUCAAGUCAAAAAUUUAUGCAUGAUUGACUACAAUAAAUUGAAUUAUAUCAAUAAUUCAAUACUUUAGAAUGUGUUGAUUCUUGAAUCUGUCAUCUGACACUCCAAACGACCCACUCUAGUGAAGCGUCAAGGCAAUGCCCCCCAAAGCCUAAUUUAUAUUCGUAUUUAUGCUAUUCACACUAUUUACAUUUUUUUGCACAAUAUAAACUCCCCAACUCUACUAGCACCUCUGAGUCUGUAAUAUGAUAUUUUCUCUCUUACAAUAAACUAAUCUCUCUCUGCUUGUAAACGUAGCUAAUGUACUGUUAGUGAACUAUGUAAAUCUUACGUUGAUUUCGUCGUUCUUUACAAUUUCUUUCUAAAAAGCACGGACACGGAUACGAGACACGAAUACGACACGAAACGCUAUCCAAACUAAAGUGUCUGUGCAUCUUAGUUUUCUUGCUUUGUUUGGUUGUUGAUUUCCCCACACUUCUCCUCAUGCUAAAUCACCGGUCAACCCUCAUAUGUGAGGUUGAAGUUUUAUAGAGGUUCAAUUAUAGGAUCUUGUGCAUUUAUAACAUGCUAAAUCACUGAUCAACCUAAAAACUUAAGCGGAUAGGUUACGACCAAUUUCAUUUAAAGCAAUACUUCAACAGCAAUCUAGACUUGGAUUCUUAAACUGCAUUUUCUUGUUUUUUCUUCUUUUUGCUGG
rnacentral:lncRNA from 1 species